CUAAAGUGUAUGGCUUGGUGAUGUUGAGUUAUUUCCUAAUUUAUUUGACCCACGACUUGUGGUUGACGUCUUUGUCUAUAUGGCUGAACUAAACAAUGCAUCUUCGUUAAGCGUUACCAGCCAAACCUGAGUGGUCAGAGCGGACAAAUCGAAACGUAGUUAGUUACA